GAUGAACGCUAGCGGCAGGCUUAACACAUGCAAGUCGAGGGGUAUUGGUUUUCGGACCAAGAGACCGGCGCACGGGUGCGUAACGCGUAUGCAAUCUACCUUUUGCAGAGGGAUAGCCCAGAGGAAAUUUGGAUUAAUACCUCAUAGUAUAGUACUUUGGCAUCAAGGAACGUAUUAAAGUCACAACGGCAAAGAUGAGCAUGCGUCCCAUUAGCUAGUUGGUAAGGUAACGGCUUACCAAGGCUACGAUGGGUAGGGGUCCUGAGAGGGAGAUCCCCCACACUGGUACUGAGACACGGACCGAGACUCCUAC
rnacentral:rRNA from 1 species